GAUGAAGAACGCAGCGAAAUGCGAUAAGUAGUGUGAAUUGCAGAAUUCAGUGAAUCAUCGAAUCUUUGAACGCACAUUGCGCCUUCUAGUAUUCUGGGAGGCAUGCCUGUUUGAGCGUCAUUAAACCUCUCUCAAGUAUGAUUACUUGGAUGUGAAGGAAGAGUACCUUAAACUUAAGGAGUGUUCUCCUUUGAAAUUGAUUAGCAGAUGGUAAUGUUAUUAAAUCCCUGAUGUUGUAAGAAAUAACAGUGGUUUUGUAGACUAUUAUCUAGCUUUAAAUUAUAAUUUUUAUUAUGGUUGACCUCGAAGCAGGUAAGGAUACCCGCUGAACUUAAGCAUAUCAAUAAGCGGAGGA
rnacentral:misc_RNA from 1 species